GUGCUACACCCAGCUGAGGGUGAGUAAUGUGAACACAAUAUAAGGGAGGAAAAGAGGCUUGUUCUCCCCCCACUUUUGUUCUUGCUGCUUUUGCUGUAUUUUGAUGACCCGAAUGCUGCCCCUGUGCCAUGCCACCUGCCUUGGAGCCAGUUGAUUAUGGACUGAAAUCUCCACAAACUUCCUUCUUGACCAGCAGAGAGGAAUUGAAAGGAGUAUGCAGCAACUACUGGGUUAAUGUUCAUCACUUGACAGAUGGAAGGUCCAAAGGUCCAAGUCAGCUAAAGUAUGAGAACCAUGGAAACCAUACUGUGGUUCUCUUGAAAGAGAAAUGAGACAACGAAAGAAAUCUUGGCUGGGUCAGGAGAUGGCGGUUCCUGAAUAGUGUGAACAAUCUCAUUAAAGAUCUCUGCUGGAACAAUCAAUUCACUGUCACCAGACCAUAUCGAUCCUCAAGAACAGUCAUUGAGUUCCAGGGUGUUUGUAAAAAAUUGACAACCGGAAGUGCACUUCAGUUUGAGCUAUUUACUGCUUUGAGAAACACGCUAUAUCAGAUGGUAUCUAAGUAGCCCCCUCUUAGUGAUUGCUCCUGUGAGCUGGAAAUACUGACAAGAGGUUUCCUGACAAAGGUUUUAGCAAGAUGCUCUUUCCAGGUACACCUGACCAGCAUGCAAAAUGCCUGCCAGCAACUUUACUCUCUGAGACAUUUGUGGGCCCUCUCUUUGAAAUUUCUUACAUCUAAGGCUGCUAUCAUGUGAUUUUGCUCCUUAGCACAGAAGACUAGGCAAGAGAGAAGCAUAUGACUGAAAGAAGAUCAAAUAUCCAGUGACCAAGCUGUGGUUUUAGUGAGAGAGAAAAUCUGACUUAGCUGAGGAGGAGAGAAGAAAUAGACACAGAAAAAGCAACACAAAAUCACCUUGAUGGUGCAUCACCAAACUGGGUGGCAAAAAAAUUUAUAAAAGGCAGCUGGUCACCUGAGCUUACUGUGCUCUGAUAGCAAGCCAGUUAUCUGCUGAGGCCCACUGAGGUUCUGUACAGUGAAUGAGAGAGGAUUUCAUGUCCUCACCAUGAUGACAGAACCAAGGAAUGAGCUGUCUUGAACAGCCACCACCAAGGGAACUCUUUGCCAAGAGCCUACGGUCAUGUAAAUCAAUAGCCUCCUACAAUGUCUAGGACAGAAUAUGGAGAAUUUCAACUUUAUCCUCUGAGAUAAUGAUGCAAAGUACAGGCCUACCCCUAUGCACUUUAGUCACACAGUGCGUUUGCCUUGUUCUACCAAUACUGUGGUACCUUUGGGUAGAGAAAAGGUAAGUCAAAAAUUGUGCGAUUUCAGUACAAUAAAGUGGUAAAAAUGAAGAGUAAGCAGGAGCUUGGCUUUUGGAAAUGAGGUUUCUGACAUUGGUGCUUUUCAUAUCUAUAGGUGGUCUCAGGACAGAAACCGAAUGUCAUCACUUCCCACAUCUGGUUCUUGUGAUGCUUAUGUCUUCAGUGCUUGAAUUACUGUGCAAGGAGUAGCCCAGAAUGUUCUCAGUGGCACUGUUGGCAAGAGCAAAAAGUUGUAAAAAGUUGGUGUUGAGAGCAGGACUGGCAGGGAGCCCUGCAUCGACCUGCAGUGAGUGAGAAAAAUGGGGACCAUUUCAUAGACUAGGAGGCUCCAACAGAGGACAUUCUGGGAAUGGGCAGACUAGCCGGAACAGGGGCCUGCAGUGACUUUAGUCACAUAUUCCCCUCUCAAGCGGGAUUGGUGGGGAGCACUUGGCUUGGUGAUGCUGUGGACUAGCAUCCAGAAGGCUAGCCCAAAUCAGGUCCCUGCACCUGGUGGUGCACCCUAGCAGUGAAGCCUUCACUAGGUUGAUCUGGAGGGAUGGGCCCAGCAGAGGCUGCCCAGGUCUGUGUCUCCCUAGUACACUGCAGUGGGCAGGAACACCUAGCCAACAAAUUGAAACAAACUGUAACAGACAAAGAGAAAAAAAAAAAAAAAACUGGGCCUCCUAAAUACGCUUGUAUGGAAGGAACAAAAAGUAUGGGGAAAGGGAGCAACAAGAAAGGGUCCUCAGUCCCCAAUCCUGAGAACACUGAUCCAGGAAAGAUCAAUGCAAAAGAGAAUGAAGACAGAAAACAUACAAUAUCAGACACGGCACCAAAUAGACAUAAAGCGGUAUCUCCGGAGCUUCAUAGAUGAGUUCAGAAAUAAGUAGAAUAGUUAGAGAAAUGCUAAGCACCGCCCAAGAAAAAACAGAUGGUGGAAUGGAAGAACAGAAAAAAAGGGGAGAAUUGUUUGAUGGAGAAAAUAGAGAAAGCAUAGAAUACGUGAAGCAGGUUCAAAGAGAUUACCAGGAAACUAAAAACUCUAUUGAAAGCUGGCAUAACAGCUUGAAAGAAACUAAGGAUAGAUUAUCAGAACUGGAGGACAGAUUUGUAAGGUGGGAGCAUGAAAUGCAAAACUUCUUAAAAAUAACAAGAAAACAAACAGCAAUAAUACGAAGUUUAGAAGAUGAUUAGAGGAUCUAUAAUUUAAGAAUUAAGAAUAUAAAAGAAGAAGUAGGGACACAAACAAAUAAACUACAAAAGCUAUUCACAGAAAUAAUCCAGGAGAAUUUUCCUAAUUUAGCAAAAGGUAAAGAUACUCAGAUGUAUGAGGCAUAUAGGACCCCAGCCUCCUACAACCCAAACAGAACUACACCUAGGCAUAUAAUAAUCAAAAUUCCAGAAAUCCAAUAUAAGAACAGAAUAUUAAAUGCCGUCAGAGACAAGAAACAGAUCACUUACAAGGGAAUACCCAUCAGAAUUACAGCAGACUUCUCGGCACAAACCAUCAAAUCACAAAGAGCAUGGGGGGAAAUACUUCAAGCUUUGAAAGAUAAUAACCUCCAGCCAAGAUUGAUAUAUCCUGCACGACUGUCCCUAGAAAUUGAUGGAAAAACAAGGUGCUUCCAGGAUAGAGAGGAACGAGGGUAAUUUGCAACCAUCAAUUCAACUCUAAGAGAUUACUGCAGGAUAUUCCAAAAAUGAAAAAUACCAAGAUUCCAGAAACAGUGGCAGAGCGGCCACAAUGAAUGGAGCAGAAAGCAAAAUGAAGAAGACAAACUGACAACUUAUGACAGGAAAAGAGCUCAACAGAAAUGAGGCAGAUUGGAUGGUAGGAACAGCCAUUUUGGAGAAAACAAGACAUCAUAAUAGGUAGUGCUGAUUUAAUAUCCUCUUGUUUUAAUCUAUUGAAAAUAACAAGAGAAAACAUAGUAGCUACGGAAGAUCAUUUAUAUUAUAGUUUUAUAAGUCUUAUCCAUUGCAUGUUUUUCUAGGAAAUUGUUUCGCUGUCUUGUUAUGACUUGGUUUUCCCUAUAAUACAGAGAGGAUAGGAACAAAUACUCUGAGGAAGAGACCUGAAAAACCCGAGGCUUAUUUUGUAGCAUUAUAAUAUAAAUUCUAGCAAUCUAUUGCUUGCUGAUUAGAAUGACAUUGGACUGGUUUCUUCAGCUCAACUUCAGCAUAUGCAGAGAUGGGGACGGCUAUCACAAAGAGAAUGAGAGAUGCGAUGGUAGUUGCUAUUGUCUUCCCUAAUUUGGAACUUGAGGACCUAAAAAGACUCCAUCAUCCUGUAAUGAUUUGAUUAGUUCUAUAAUAUGCAAUAAGUAUAUAAAGUGGGUGAAGUUAGGGACAACUAUUUGUAAGAAGCUAGAGACAGUUAGAUAAGGUAGAUCUCCAGUGGACUUGCUUUGAAAUCUGUAUUUCUUUAAAUUGUUUUUUAUUUUUUAUUUUUUUUUAAAUGUUCUGUUCUGUUUUGAUAUGGUUAACCUUACCCUCUUAGAGAUGUAAAACAAAUAGGUGGGACUGAUAAUCAUAUUACAGAGCUUUUGUUCGACCAUAGAGCAGAAUGGUUUGUAGGGUCACUUUUUUGAAUGUCAUUCUAAAUACUUUAAUUCUAUAACCUGAACAGCCAUUUCAAAGAUGACAAUUUGUAACUUAUCAACCGGCAAUUUCUUACCUUUUGUUUGUCUGUAAUUUAGUAUUAUUUCUACCCUUUUUUUUAAUCUCCAUGUAUUUUUUUUCUUUUUUCGUUUCCUUUUCUUUAAAUAAAAAAAAAAAAAAAAAAAAGAUCUAAAGUGCAAACCAAGGGGAAAUGAUCCUUCACUGCAGAAGGAACCAACCCUGUCAACACUUUGAUCUGUGACUUUUAGCUUCUAUGACUGUAAGGAGAAAAUAAAGCCUCUGCUAUCUAAAAAAAAAAAAAAAUAUCCUCUUGUUUUGAAGUCCCAUCAAGCUUUUGUUUUUCUAUCUCCAUCGGUUUUAACCUGUUGUAUCUUAUUGGAUUUUAUUAUAUGUGAUAAUAUAAACAAAAACUCUUAUACACAAGGAGAUUAUACAGAAACCAUUGUUCAUUAUCUGUUGGUUCUAAAUACUCUGUAAUACUAUCAUUCUCUUGAACGGUUUUACAUUUUCUUGAUAUGUUUGAUGCUACAGUAUACGAAGUUAUACUCAAAGAUUUCAAGGAAAGAGACACUAUGGUAACUACUUUUAGGUCGAGAUUAUCUUGUGGUGAAACACUAUUUUGCUUAAAUUGCUGUGUUCUGACCUGUGCUGUUUUGUUGUUAUGCCCCCCCCCCUUUUUUUAUCUCAAUCUCCUUUUUAUUAUCUACUUCUUUAAUUUUAUCCUUUUAAUUAUCUACUUUUUUGUUUUUAUCCUUUUAAUUAAGGUAAAAUAAAUAAAAAAUAGCAGGAUAUAUUAUAGUAACCCACUGUGAUUUCCUGUUAACUUGAUUUGAAACCCUGUAUUGCUCUCACCAUCAAUUUUUUGACUGAUUUUCCUCUGUUCUGUUAUGCUUGAUAGUACCAAGUUCGAAAGUAUAGGCAACAACUAUGAAGACAAUAAGAUUCAUUAUGAUGCCCAUUCUGGUUGACUAUUAUCUUCUUUUGAAGUCCUCUAAUGUCUCCAAUGUUUUGGUUUUAUUGGUCUUAUUCUUUACUGUUUUGUUCAAUUUUCUUAUAACUGAUGAUAUAGGCAAUUCUUUUUAAGAUAACAAGAGGAAUUAUGGUAACCAUUGUUGAUAAUCUUGUAUUUUGUUUUUAUAUUAUGUAUUAUGUCCAUCCUUUUGAUUUGACUGACUCUGUCCUGUUAUAUCACAUUUGGUUUUACUUUCUUCAAAAAAAAAAAAAGUAAUAAGAACUGUGGGAGUUAUAAAACCCAAAAUGUGUAAUUGUCAUUGUACAAAAGAAAGGAAAAGAAAGUGCUCUAAAGGAUAUAACUGCAUAUAUAUUUAAGUGUAUAAGAUAGAUGUUAUGAUUCGAUAACUAGUGGUCAACUUAACGCCAGCUGGAUUACAUCAGCAUGUAUUGAAAGAAGAUGCUCCACCUGAGGAGGGUUGCCAGGAUAAAUAGGUGGAGAAGAAGGGAGGUGUGGAGAGGGAUUGAGGCGUUAUGGAGGCGUUGUUAGUUCUCCUACAAGUUGCUGUCUGAGCUGUUGGUUCUCCUGGAGCUUUGGUUUUCACAUGAGCAUUGCUUCCUGGCUCCGGAGGGGAAGACAUGUGCUGCUUGGUCUCCAGGAUGAACUCGUCAUGCUGCUUCCUGGCACGUACUCGACUGUGCUUGUUGUCGGAGGAGCUUGGGGCCUCCGUGUCGCUGAGGACAGCAGUGGUGCCUUUCAGGACAGCCCCACUCUUUGUUGUGAGAGUGACUUCUCAGCUUCAGCGUAGAACCCUCAUCCCACUAGCACAGCUCCUUCAUCCUGCUGGCAUAGACUUUCUGGCUUCCACCGCUGACCCUUGGGUCUUCCCGGCACGAAUCCGUAAAAGAGACUGGUGUGAGUCCUUGUAGGCCCUGGACUUGCAGUUGGACUCGUGGAGGUGUUGUCCUGAGCUCUGGGUUUUUAUCUGGACUCAUGUGGGACAUUGCCUUGGGGUUUAGGCUCUUGACUUAUAUAAUCUAUGUCGUUGGAGUUGCAGAUAGAUUUCCUGAUUUCUCCUGUAUUAACUUCUGGUGACCAUUAUAAAAAUAUUAUAAACUCCAUGUCCUGACCUGAAUUGUUCUCUGUGUACAACCCCUGACUACAACAAUAGAUAACCAUAUUACUGAGUUUUGUUGGAUCAUUGAACAGAACUGUUUGCAGUCUCACUGUUUGAAAGUCCCCUCUAUAUGCUUUAAUUUGUAACUUGAACAACUAUUUCUAAGAUGACAAUAUGUAAUUAACUAGUGAUUUCCUACUGUUUAUUUUUUCUGAAAUUCUGUAUAACUUGUACCCUUUUUCUGUUUUUUUUUUUCUUUUUUC